CAGCCCUCUCCCACCAAGCCCCUCCCCCAGCGACCCCCGCCCUCGCCUCUACGUCCCAUACUUUUCAAGAUGGUCACAAUACUGCUCACAAAUGUCACAAAAUGACCAGGAAAGCAGCAGGAAUGGCUUGUUGGCUGCUCCAGUCUCGGGCUCCAGGGGACGGGGUGAUAGGACCCCUGAGCCCAGAGCCUGUGGAGAGACGACUCCCUUCCUGGCCCACAGGCGCGUGGAGCUCUCGGUGACUUCCACGGGCUGGCUGGGCCUCCAGCCCCUGACAUGCCUCUAACCCCGGCCUCCUAGCUGUUUAUCCUCAACCGCGUGAAGAAGGCAUAAACCGUGGAGCUUGCCCAGGUAUUUAUUUUAGUUAGUGAAAAUGCCUUGGACUUUGCCAAGAGCCAUUUGACUUUAAUUGGAAACUUUUGAGGCAUUAAUACUGCACCGAGGUUUAAGAUGUGUCGGAGGCUCUGAAACCAUCCAUCACGUGAAGGCUGCUUCAGACCAGGUGGAAUGAAGACAACCUUUUAGCAAAUCCACCUCCCUUAAUGGACUCAUUUAUAACUCUCUGGAUCACUGGGCAGCGUCUCUCCUGCAGAACCCCAGGAGCGCCAGCCAGCGUGUCUGAAAGCAGCCAACAUCUGGUGACUGUAAAUGAGGAACCCAGAAAAAACAAAACACAACAUAAACAAGAAGCAGCUUGGGGAGGGCCAGCUGGACGCCCCCAUUCUGUGCUCAGGGCGGACACUUCCCAUCACGUGCAGGAAGCCGGGGGGAUGCACUAUCUGCACUUCCUCCAAGAAACGUCCCCACCAACAGCUCUGUCUAUGGAGAGCCUCAGAGGGCCAGCCCGGUCAGGAGGCCACACCAGCUCCCCUGGCCUCAUCCCAUGACACACCCCCAUGGGCAUCUCGGGCCUGAUCCCAUCACAAGGCCCUAGUUUAGGCUCUUUCCUGUGCCCAGAGCAGUCCUUCUGCUCAUCUGUACUAGUUAGCUAUCACUGCGAAACAAAGGAUCUCACACUAAGCAGUUGAGAACAACAGAAGUUCAGAAUGUCAAAAAGGAAAGAACAACAUUGAUGUGGCUAAAAAUAGAAGCAAAUGUAAUAAACUACCUUCUCAUUAGUUUUUAGGUCAUAUUUGACGAUUGAAGCAAAAAUUGUAAUCUGAUGUGGUGCUCAGUGUAUGAAGAAGAAAUACUUGAGAUCUGUUCUUUAAAUGGGAAAGUUUCUCAGAACUUCACAGCCCUAGCUCAGGGUCAUUACUUCUGUGACUGUCUCUUAGGAUGGUGUUGCCAGCACAGGGCAGAACAGUGCCUAUCAUUACCCUGCCUCCAGGUGUGCCUGAAGCAUGUUCUCCUCUUUGGCUGCUGGAUAGCCCCAUCUGGAAGCUGGUACCAGUUCAGAGAAUGCAAUUUCCAUUCUAAAAUCUGGCUGCAAACCUUCUGACACUCCUGCAUAGAGUGGCAGUCUAUGUCCCCUCCUUGGAACCAGGUGGGCUGUAGCUGCUUUGAACAAGGAAAAAGGGGAAGUGAUGUGAUAGCUUUGGGGGCUGAGUCACAAGAAGCCAUGCAACUUCCCCCUUCCCUGCUGGAACUCCCACCUUGGAGCCCUAGACUGCUGUGGAAAGAGUCUCAUCACCCUGAGGCCAGAGAACCAGUGCAGUUGACAGUACCCAUGGAGCCUGUAACCCAGCCGCCCUGGCACUGUUGGCACCAGCAUGCUGUCACCAAGUGGUCCUCUCAACCCCACUAUCUCAGCCUCUGUAAAGCCCUUUGAAUCUUUCUGGCUGAAACACCAGACAUUGUAUCACAGAGACAAGCUGUCUCCACUGUGUUCUGAUUGAAUUUCUGACCCACAGAAUCUCUGGGCACAAUAAAAUUAUUGUUUUA